rnacentral:lncRNA from 1 species
AGAACCAAAAGAGAGAUUAAGAGUAUUCUUUUGGGGAUAAGAAUAAAUCACAUGUUUUGAUUCAAAAAUUAUUUGAUUCAUGUUAUCGGGCCUAUAGAAAGCAAGCUGACUCGGCCCAUGUGAUAAAAGACCAAAAUACAUCGGUUCACUAAAGAGUGAUCCGGUGCGUUCGAGCUCAAGUAAGCUCGGGGACAGGACGAGUAUUUAAACCCAUCUUCUUCCCCGAGAAACCCUAAUUCUCUCCUCUCUACUACCGUCGAUAAACACCGAAAGCUUCUAGUUUGCUUUGCUUUCUUGCAUUUUAUUUCUGGUUGUUUGUAGGUGAAUACAUACACACAUUGCACACCCAUUCCCAUGAAGAGCUUCUCUCUCUGUUCACUCACUUCCGCACCUUUUGUCUUACUGAGUUUCUCUCUCCGUUCACUCACUUUUAUGUCUUCUACCUUCGUCGAGUUUUUAUCUCUGUUCACUCACUUCUGCACCUUCUGCUCUCACCAAGGAUCAACUGCGUAAUCCAGUAUUUUCCUUCAACUUUACUUGUUAUUUUUUAUACAAAACAUUGAUUUCUAGAUAGUUUGAUUUGUGAAAUUUAUUUUCUUUCAUGGU